AUAUCAGUCCACUACUGACUCAAAACGCAAAUUUUUACAUCAUGAACGGAAAAACAAUGAUUUCCAAGCUUCAGGUGCCCCAUACCUGUGUUGACAAGUUCAAGCUUCUUAAUGUGAACCCCACCACACAACCUGAUAUCACGGCCAACACAGACAAGGGGCUCACAGGAGGGGAAUGGCAUUGGGAGGAUGCCGGUCUCGAGCUACUGCGGGUCUCAUCCAUGCUAAGACCUGUGUGGGCAGGAAGUGUUUCAAAGUUGCCCAUCCUCCACCUCAAGUCUUACUGCAGUGCUGAGUCAAAAUAACCCAGUUGCUGAGUUAUCUGUCGUGGGCAUUUUGGAGCGUCUUCAGGAGGGACUCGAGUCAGCACUUCUUAA